UACGGAGGGUGCGAGCGUUGUCCGGAAUCAUUGGGCGUAAAGGGCGCGUAGGUGGCCCCUCAAGCGUGCGGUGAAAGUCAGGGGCUCAACCCCUGAUCGGCCGUGCGAACUGGGGAGCUUGAGCACUGUAGAGGCAGGCGGAAUUCCGGGGUGUAGCGGUGGAAUGCGUAGAGAUCCGGAAGAACACCAGUGGCGAAGGCGGCCCGCUGGGCAGUG
rnacentral:rRNA from 1 species